CACAAACGGAUUUUCUUUGAUUUGCAUUAGUGUACUAUAUUACUUUCUGUAUUGGAUUACUUUUUGGCAAUGAUACCACUCCAAUAUACGGCUGAUCACUGCAAUGAAGGUUACAGGUGCUUUUCUACAAGGUUAACCAAAGGACUUAAAAGGUUCCUUUACGACAUGUGGACAACCAGGAAGCGAUUUAUGAAGGCAUAUUUGAGGAAGCUAAUAUAUCAAUUGAACCUGCUGUAAAGCUUUCAGUGCAGUGCGAGGACGACCAACGGGGCCUUUGUGG